UCUUUCCUCUGUCUGUCUCUGUCUCUCUCUCUCUCUCUCUGUCUCUCUCAAUUUCUCUCUCUCUGUCUCUGUCUCAAUUUCUCUCUCUCCUUCUCUUCUAUCCCCUUCCCUUUUUUCCCUUUAUUUUAGGUGUCUGUCUCUCUGAUUCUCUCCCUCCCUCGUUUUCUCUCUGUCUCUCUCCCCCUUCUCUCCUAUUCCCUUCCCUUUUUUCCCUUUAUUAGGUGUCUGUCUCUCUUAUUCUCUCCCUCCCUCUUUUUCUCUCUGUCUCAAUCUCUCUCUCUUUCUCCUUCUCUCCUAUUCCCUUCCCUUCUCUUUUUUCCCCUUUAUUUUAGUUGUCUGUCUCUCUCUGAUUCUC
rnacentral:lncRNA from 1 species